rnacentral:rRNA from 1 species
CCUACGGGAGGCAGCAGUGAGGAAUAUUGGUCAAUGGGCGGAAGCCUGAACCAGCCAAGUAGCGUGCGGGAUGAAGGCCCUACGGGGCGUAAACCGCUGUUGCACGGGGAUAACACCCUCCACGUGUGGAGGGCUGCAGGUACCGUGCGAAUAAGGGCCGGCUAAUUCCGUGCCAGCAGCCGCGGUAAUACGGAAGGCCCGCGAGUUAUCCGGAUUCAAUGGGCUGAAAGGGAGCGUCGGCGGGCGUUCAGGUCAGCGGUAAAAUCGCGCGGCUCAACCGCGCCCCGCAGUUGCAACUGGACGCCUUGAUUUCACAACAGGCAGUCGGAUUUCGUGGUGUAGCGGUGAAAUGCAUAGAUAUCAC